AUUGAACGCUGGCGGCAGGCCUAACACAUGCAAGUCGAGCGAGCGGCGGACGGGUGAGUAAUGUCUGGGAAACUGCCUGCUGGAGGGGGAUAACUACUGGAAACGGUAGCUAAUACCGCAUACCAUCAGAUGUGCCCCGAUGGGAUUAGCUAGUAGGUGGGGUAACGGCUCACCUAGGCGACGAUCCCUAGCUGGUCUGAGAGGAUGACCACGCAGACGGGAACGGGGAAACGGGACAGAGUCCUACGGGAGGCAGCAGUGGGGAAUAUUGCACAAUGGGCGAAAGCCUGAUGCAGCCAGGCCGCGGGUGUGAAGAAGGCCUUCGGGUUGUAAAGCACGUUCAGCGGGGAGGCGUUACCCGCAGAAGAAGCACCGGCUAACUCCGUGCCAGCAGCCGCGGUAAUAC
rnacentral:rRNA from 1 species